rnacentral:rRNA from 1 species
GCGAACAUACCACGGUGAGAGCACCGGUUCUCGACUGACCACCAAAGUUAAGCAGUGACGGACCCGGUUAUUACCAGGUGUUGCGGCCGUUCCUUUGCCUCUAAAUGUU